rnacentral:lncRNA from 1 species
AAUCCUUUAAUUACAAAGCAGUCACCAAAUAGUAGUUUUAUGCUUUGACUUUUAUGGAAUCACACCAAUGAGCAACAUACUCCAACAAGCACCCGAACAUAAAGUGGAAAGGUUUCGUAGGUUUUUGAACACAUUUUUACUUUGAGAGGAAUAUCCACACUUAGCCUGCCUAAACAUAAAAAUUUCAUGCAAAUGGGAUCAUGUUGGAACAUAAAUUUAUUUGGGAUUAGUUCUUGAGCACUCUUUUGCUUGCUUGAAAUAUCACCCACUUUUUGAUGCAAGGACAAAUAUU